GAUGUGGUUAAGUCCCGCAACGAGCGCAACCCUUGUCAUUAGUUGCUACAUUCAGUUGGGCACUCUAAUGAGACUGCCGGUGACAAGCCGGAGGAAGGUGGGGAUGACGUCAAGUCCUCAUGGCCCUUAUAGGUGGGCUACACACGUCAUACAAUGGCUGGUACAAAGGGUUGCCAACCCGCGAGGGGGAGCUAAUCCCAUAAAGCCAGUCGUAGUCCGGAUCGUAGUCUGCAACUCGACUACGUGAAGUCGGAAUCGCCAGUAAUCGUGGAUCAGAAUGUCACGGUGAAUACGUUCCCGGGCCUU
rnacentral:rRNA from 1 species